rnacentral:rRNA from 1 species
UACGUAGGGGCGAGCGUUGUUCGGAAUUACUGGGCGUAAAGGGCGCGUAGGCGGCGACCCAAGUCAGAUGUGAAAGUCCUGGGCUUAACCUGGGGACUGCAUUUGAUACUGGGUUGCUUGAAUUCGGGAGAGGAUAGCGGAAUUCCCAGUGUAGAGGUGAAAUUCGUAGAUAGUUGGGAAGAACACCGGUGGCGAAGGCGGCUAUCUGGACCGACAUUGACGCUGAGGCGCGAAAAGCGUGGGGGAGCAAACAGGG